AGAGUUUGAUCCUGGCUCAGGACGAACGCUGGCGGCGUGCUUAACACAUGCAAGUCGAGCGGUGACCCUCCUUCGGGAGGUGAUCAGCGGCGAACGGGUGAGUAACACGUGGGCAACCUGCCCCUAACACUGGGAUAACCUCGGGAAACCGGGGCUAAUACCGGAUACGACCUCGAGCGGCAUCUCUUGAGGUGGAAAGCUCCGACGGUUAGGGAUGGGCCCGCGGCCUAUCAGCUUGUUGGUGGGGUAAUGGCCUACCAAGGCGACGACGGGUAGCCGGCCUGAGAGGGCGACCGGCCACACUGGGACUGAGACACGGCCCAGACUCCUACGGGAGGCAGCAGUGGGGAAUAUUGCGCAAUGGGCGAAAGCCUGACGCAGCGACGCCGCGUGAGGGAUGAAGGCCUUCGGGUUGUAAACCUCUUUCAGCAGGGACGAAGCGAAAGUGACGGUACUUGCAGAAGAAGCACCGGCUAACUGCGUGCCAGCAGCCGCGGUAAUACGUAGGGUGCAAGCGUUGUCCGGAUUUAUUGGGCGUAAAGAGCUCGUAGGCGGUUUGUCGCGUCGGAUGUGAAAACCCAGGGCUCAACCCUGGGCCUGCAUUCGAUACGGGCAAACUAGAGUAUGGCAGGGGAGACUGGAAUUCCUGGUGUAGCGGUGAAAUGCGCAGAUAUCAGGAGGAACACCGGUGGCGAAGGCGGGUCUCUGGGCCAAAACUGACGCUGAGGAGCGAAAGCGUGGGGAGCGAACAGGAUUAGAUACCCUGGUAGUCC
rnacentral:rRNA from 1 species